UACAUGGGGUGCAAACGUUGCUCGGAAUUAUUGGGCGUAAAGCGCGCGUAGGCGGUUACUCAAGUCGGAUGUGAAAGCCCUCGGCUUAACUGAGGAAGUGCACCCGAAACUGAGUAGCUAGAGUACCAAAGAGGGUCGCGGAAUUCCCGGUGUAGAGGUGAAAUUCGUAGAUAUCAAGCAGAACACCUGCGGCGAAGGCGGCCUUCUGGACGGUAACUGACGCUGAGACGCGAAAGCGUGGGGAGCAAACAGG
rnacentral:rRNA from 1 species